CAGGAAAUAGUUUAUUUAAAAUAUUAAUUUUGGAGAUUAAUGAAGGAAGAUUUUCCUUUCCUGA
rnacentral:tRNA from 1 species